GACGCACGCUGGCGGCGUGCCUAAUACAUGCAAGUCGAACGCAGUGGGGACGGGUGAGUAACACGUGGGUAACCUCCCAUCAGAGGGGAUAACACUUGGAAACAGGUGCUAAACCGAUACUGAUGGAUGGACCCGCGGUGCAUUCGCUAGUUGGUGAGGUAACGGCUCACCAAGGCCACGAUGCAUCGCCGACCUGAGAGGGUGAUGUGCAAAACGGGGAGUGAGAAGCGGCCCAUACGCCUACGGGAGGCAGCAGUAGGGAAGCUGGGGCAAUGGACGAAAGUCUGACCGAGCAACGCCGCGUGAGUGAAGAAGGUUUUCGGAUCGUAAAACUCUGUUGUUAGAGAAGCGGUAUCUAACCAGAAAGCCACGGCUAACUACGUGCCAGCAGCCGCGGUAAUAC
rnacentral:rRNA from 1 species